AAGGUAAUUCGGUGAUUUACGAUUUCAGAGUAUUUUAAUGAUUUACGGACUGAGGGCAUUUUAGCAAUUUUAUCGACACGGGAGUUGUAAAUUAUGGAUAGAUGUUCGUUUCGAGUUUAUUGCAUAAAUUUAGUUGUAAUUCUGAUUUAUGGAAAAUAAUUAUGUCGUUUCCUUGAUUUAGGAGGAUCCGCGAGCGAGAACCGAUCCGCAGACGUGGACGAUAACCGAGCGUGAACACCGUCACUGUGAGUGGAAUAUACAAAACCUAUUUUCAUAGUUAAUUAGGAUAGUAAAGCAUGUUUGCGAAAUAAGUAUUUUAAAUGUUCUGAUUUAAUGAUUCCCUCAAAAUGAAUUUUAUUAACGCAUUGAUAUUUUAUUAAAAUGUUUGGUUAAUGGUUUUGCGUAUCGACUUUGAAUAAGCAUGUUAGUAUUUUAAAGAUAAGAAAAGUGGAUUCAAAUGUGGUAUGAUUUAAAGUAUGGUUAAAAGGUAUGUGAAUAUGAGUAUAAUGAGUAUUUUUUAAAUCAUUAGACAAUACCCUUCCCCUCCAGAUACAGUGAUACAGAUGUGAUGAGAUAGAGGUCUUUGGGGCCCGUCUGAACACACAUAGAGGCUUUGGGCCGUGUGUUUGGGCGCUUUUUUCCUUUUAGGAGCAUAUGCAUGCGGUAUGAUGAUUACAUAGAUACAGAUAUUGAGAUACAGAUGAGAUACAGACCUUUGGGGCCCGUCUGAGUACACAGAGGUUUUGGGCCGUGUGCUUGGGCGCUUUUGUCCUUUAGGGACUAGAUUAUACAUGCACAGAUAUGAUGAGAUAUGAGAUGGUAUUUUUAUGUCUAUUCGUGUAGCUCCGGGGCGUGACGGUAUCUAUAUAGUACGUCAUUGCCCGUCCGUUGAGAUCCGGAUACGACGAGAUUAUUUCCCUGGGUACUUGUGUGGUGAUGAUUUUCAAAUUUGUGUAUUAUAUAUGAUAUUGUGAUAUGAUUUCCAUGGUUAGUAAUCUGAUUUAAAUGUUAAAUGAUUUAUUACUGGUUUCUCGCAUAUGGUUUGAUGAAAUUGUGUUUGGAAAUUAUAUGAUUAUUUCUUUUAAAAUAAGAAUUAAUUUUCAAAAACUACUAUCCACUCACUGAUCUCACUGAGUUUUAAACUCAUCCCGUUUUUAUUAUAUUUUUUCCCCCACCAGGAGGUUGCAGGUACACCAGACCGACCCAGCGACUGUAAAUAUAUUUUGAAACGUGAUGGUGUUAGAAGAUAUAGAUGAUUUUGUUAGGAUAUUUCAGUUAUCUUGUCCUUUUGGGAUUGUAUAAAUUUGUUAUAUUAUUCUUUUGGGAUUAAGAAUAAACUGAGAUAUUAAUAUUAGUUAUAAUAUUAUCUUUUUAGACUUUGGAGAUAUCUUGAGUAAAAGUCAGUAUUUUGGUUGAGGAUGUUGAUAAUUGGAGUUGUUGUAUGUUGAAUUAUAUUGGGAGUGUUAUAUUUAUAAAGGAAACUGCUGAAUUUUUAGCAGAAUCUUUAUUAAUAGAAUUAUUAUCAAGUUCGUUUUGAUAAGACUAGAUUGACUUGCCCGGAGGGGAUUCAGGGCGGGUCGUUUCAUGAGACAGAAAGAAACCGUCCACUACCCAAUCGGGUAGUCCAUCUGGGUACAUGGGUACCCAACAUACCCCAGCAAAUGCCUGCCUUAGAUGCUCCUGCAUGGGCUGCUCAUAUUUAGGUACCUCGGAGUCUUCUGUUGACCACCAUUUGAAGAAAGAUGUUGGGGAUGAUGUACCCCUUUUAGUUUAGUUAUCACUUUGUGCUGUUAUUUUUCUUGGGCUCCCCACAUUCUGCACUUGGAACUUAUUUCUUUCUUUUGAUUUUUUUGGGAUAUUUUGCAUUGCUUGGAUGUCUCUACUCUUGUGAUACUGUGCUAUUAAGCCCCUUGUUUUGUAUUUACAUGUAGUAGUAUUUUACAUCCUUGUUACUCUGCAUCUAAGUACUUGGCUAAGUUGUCAUUUUGUAAAUUUUCGGGGUACCUCGCAUUAUAUUUGACAAAUUCUUCUCUGAAAGGGGUACCUAAGGUACCCAACAAAGAGAUCAUAUUAGGCGCCUAAUGGCUCACAUAGACACAUUUGCUGCAUGUCUUUUUUGAAAAUUAUGUUGAAUCUCAACAAAUGGAUAAUCAAAGCAUCGUCAUAACAUUUUGAUUAUAAUUAAGAGUAUGUAGUUGGUGCACCAAAUUUAUUUCUUGCUCUUCUGAAGCUUUCCCCAAAAUUUUGAAUUGCCUAUUCUCCACUGGUGUGUGCAAUUUCUAAUGCUAUGAGUGUCAAUGUGUAAGUGUACACAACAAGUAAUAUACUGAUGAGUACUCAAAUCGUCUAUACAAGGAUUGAUGUUAUUAGAUUUGCUACAGCAACCUUAACAGUGUAGUCUUAUUCUAAAUUAAAAUAAGACAAUCUAUGAAACUAAUAAACUAAUUAAAAUAAAAAUGCAAUAAAGAAAAUGAUCUCAUCAAACACAAGUAUUAAUGUAACGCCCACUUUUAUUUUUAUUUUUUCUCUUUUACCCUUAUUAACUUGAGUAGGAUAGUUAUUAUUAAGUGUUUGUGUGUGAGUAAAAUUUAUCAAAUUACUUUAAAUAAGUUACAUAAGUUGUUAGUUUUUAUAA
rnacentral:lncRNA from 1 species